rnacentral:other from 1 species
AUUCCCCUGCGAUGUUUGUGAUUAAUGUAAAGUUUUUGAGCCAACACUUUAGAUCCGGGAGCCUUUACUUGUUAGUGGUGUGCAGGUCUGCCGUUAUCCCGUCCAGGAUAAAUGCGGAAAGCCUUAAGCUACAAUAGGGCACCCACCUUGGACUAAGGUUCAAAAUCAGAGUUAACACGGCAUUCGCGGGGGGCAU